rnacentral:rRNA from 1 species
UACGGAGGUGGCAAGCGUUGUUCGGAAUUACUGGGCGUAAAGGGCGCGUAGGCGGCAAGGCAAGUCAGGUGUGAAAGCCCCGAGCUUAACUCGGGAAUUGCAUCUGAAACUGCUGUGCUUGAGUUCUGGAGGGGGUAGUGGAAUUCCCAGUGUAGCGGUGAAAUGCGUAGAUAUCUGAAGGAACAUCAGUGGCGAAAGCGACUUCCUGGACGAAUACUGACGCUCAUGUGCGAAAGCGUGGGGAGCAAACAGG